AAGGAGCACCACGAAAAACACUCCAAUUGGUGGGGUGUAAGCCGUGAGGGGUUCUCAUCUGUAGUGGACGAGAGCCGGGUGCACAACAGCAAAUGAAUCGCCAGACACACUGUUGGGUCCUGAGGCAAAACUCAGGCUUGUCCCAUGUUGGGCUUGAUCGGGUGCUGUCCCCCCAUCUUGGUGGUGGGGUGUGGUGUUUGAGUAUUGGAUAGUGGUUGCGAGCAUCUAAAUGGAUACGUUGCCAGUAAUGGUGGCGUGUUCAUUGAAAAUGUGUAAUUUUCUUCUUUGGUUUUGUGUGU
rnacentral:misc_RNA from 1 species